GAGGCCAGCUCCUUUCUUUUUUUUUCAGUACAAAAUGAAAGGGCACCCAUGCUAUACCAUGCCUUUGGAAGUGCUGGUCAUCAGACCUCCAUGUUUCAAUGCAACUCAUAGGAAACAUCCAGAAUAUGUCAACUUGGCCACGUUAGCUUACUUAAUACAUGUAGGCAUCCAAGAAUAGAAGGGCCCUAAAAUGCUGCUUA
rnacentral:lncRNA from 1 species